UACGGGGGGUGCGAGCGUUGUCCGGAAUCACUGGGCGUAAAGGGCGCGUAGGUGGUUUGAUAAGGGUGUGGUGAAAGCCCGGGGCUCAACCCCGGGUCUGCCGUGCCGACUGUCAAACUCGAGGGCUGUAGAGGCAGACGGAAUUCCGGGUGUAGCGGUGGAAUGCGUAGAGAUCCGGAGGAAGACCGGUGGCGAAGGCGGUCUGCUGGGCGAGUUUCUGACACUGAUGCGCGACAGCGUGGGGAGCAAACAGG
rnacentral:rRNA from 1 species